ensembl:piRNA 21ur-2297 ncRNA
UAGUAUUAGUAUCUAAGGGCU